rnacentral:rRNA from 1 species
AUUGAACGCUGGCGGCAUGCUUUACACAUGCAAGUCGAACGGCAGCACGGGUGCUUGCACCUGGUGGCGAGUGGCGGACGGGUGAGUAAUGCAUCGGAACGUGUCCUAAAGUGGGGGAUAACGCAUCGAAAGAUGUGCUAAUACCGCAUAUUCUCUGAGGAGGAAAGUAGGGGAUCGAAAGACCUUAUGCUUUUGGAGCGGCCGAUGUCUGAUUAGCUAGUUGGUAGGGUAAUGGCUUACCAAGGCGACGAUCAGUAGUUGGUCUGAGAGGACGACCAGCCACACUGGGACUGAGACACGGCCCAGACUCCUACGGGAGGCAGCAGUGGGGAAUUUUGGACAAUGGGCGCAAGCCUGAUCCAGCAAUGCCGCGUGAGUGAAGAAGGCCUUCGGGUUGUAAAGCUCUUUCAGUUGAGAAGAAAAAGUUAGUAGACUAAUAAUCAUGAUUCAUGACGGUAUCAACAGAAGAAGC